rnacentral:rRNA from 1 species
GGUAAAACCAGCACCUCAAGUGGUCAGGAUGAUUAUUGGGCCUAAAGCAUCCGUAGCCGGCGCUGUAAGUUUUCGGUUAAAUCUGUACGCUCAACGUACAGGCUGCCGGGAAUACUGCAGCGCUAGGGAGUGGGAGAGGUAGACGGUACUCGGUAGGAAGGGGUAAAAUCCUUUGAUCUAUUGAUGACCACCUGUGGCGAAGGCGGUCUACCAGAACACGUCCGACGGUGAGGGAUGAAAGCUGGGGGAGCAAACCGGAUUAGAUACCCGGGUAGUCCCAGCUGUAAACUAUGCAAACUCAGUGAUGCAUUGGCUUGUGGCCAAUGCAGUGCUGCAGGGAAGCCGUUAAGUUUGCCGCCUGGGAAGUACGUACGCAAGUAUGAAACUUAAAGGAAUUGGCG